UGGAGGUUGUGCCCUUGAGGCGUGGCUUCCGGAGCUAACGCGUUAAGUCGACCGCCUGGGGAGUACGGCCGCAAGGUUAAAACUCAAAUGAAUUGACGGGGGCCCGCACAAGCGGUGGAGCAUGUGGUUUAAUUCGAUGCAACGCGAAGAACCUUACCUACUCUUGACAUCCAGAGAAUUCGCUAGAGAUAGCUUAGUGCCUUCGGGAACUCUGAGACAGGUGCUGCAUGGCUGUCGUCAGCUCGUGUUGUGAAAUGUUGGGUUAAGUCCCGCAACGAGCGCAACCCUUAUCCUUUGUUGCCAGCACGUAAUGGUGGGAACUCAAAGGAGACUGCCGGUGAUAAACCGGAGGAAGGUGGGGAUGACGUCAAGUCAUCAUGGCCCUUACGAGUAGGGCUACACACGUGCUACAAUGGCGUAUACAAAGAGAAGCGAACUCGCGAGAGCCAGCGGACCUCAUAAAGUACGUCGUAGUCCGGAUCGGAGUCUGCAACUCGACUCCGUGAAGUCGGAAUCGCUAGUAAUCGUAGAUCAGAAUGCUACGGUGAAUACGUUCCCGGGCCUUGCACUCACCGCCCGUCA
rnacentral:rRNA from 1 species